rnacentral:rRNA from 1 species
UACGGGGGGAGCAAGCGUUGUUCGGAUUUACUGGGCGUAAAGGGCGCGUAGGCGGCUUGAUAAGCGUGCGGUGAAAGCCCGGGGCUCAACCCCGGGUCGGCCGUGCGAACUGUCGAGCUGGAGCACUGUAGAGGCAGGUGGAAUUCCGGGUGUAGCGGUGGAAUGCGUAGAUAUCGAGAGGAACACCUGCGGCGAAGGCGGGUUGCUGGGCUGAUACUGACGCUCAUGCACGAAAGCGUGGGGAGCAAACAGG